GAAGCCCCCAGCCUAAAGGGGCCGAGCACACCCGGGCUGGCUCUUGGCAAGGAAGGGACCAACGAGGCACAGCGCAAGGCAAGGCCGAGACCGAGCCCGCGCCCUGCCUCCCGGGGCGCUCCCUCCGCAGGCCGGAGGCUCGCGGUCUCCCACGGGGCCGUCGCCCGAGGGCAGGGCCAAGGGUGCUGGGCUCCGUCCUGCCUCGCUCAGCGCGGGACCCGCGGGCCCUUGAUUCCAGCCUGGUCUCCGACGUGCGGUGGGCGCGACGGGCUGUCCUGGUCACUUCAAGGACGCAUCGCGGCCGGCCAGGUCUUGGCCUGGGAUGAUCACCACAAAAGGAAAAAACUGACACCUCUGAAAAUUCACCAGCAGCCACAGAAUAAGAAAAGGGGUAUAACUACAAGUCAUAAGCUUCAAAAUGUGGCUAUUGAGGAAAGAAACGAAACAUUCUAUCAGAGCAAAGCCUGGCUUCUAGUCCCACUGCAGCCUGCUACCCACCAUGAUGGUACUGAGGAGGGAGGGGAUUGGACACUAAUCCUGAGAAUUCUCACUAAUGCUGCCCAACCCAGAGAAAAACAGACUCAGAGGUAAGUAAGCAGCCCAAGGAAACACUCCUCAGAGUAAAGGCCCCAACUCCAGCUCUCACUGGAUACAGGAAACCAUCAGGAACACAGAGGUAUCCUACCAUGAGGACAGCACGCAUGGCCAAUUUGACAGAUUAAUUCCUGGUACCAGAUAUUUAACAUCAUUUCAGAAAAGAGACUAAAACCCAGAUUACUUAACAAAGGGUGCAUGCAGCCGCGGCAGAACGCUAUUUCUACCCUUUCUGUCCUCAAUCUCAGAAGAGUGGAUAGAACCCAAAAUUUUAGCUCCGCCCUGUAGCCUGAAGGUGAGACAUGCAUGUCAGGGAUGGAGGUCACAGAGAACUCAUCCUCACUGUCUCAGGGAGAGCUGAAGGUCUGGAAAGAGCUGCCCACAUUCAACACGAACAAGCUACAAUUAAUCAGAUAUACUUUGGAAGAACAAAAAGAAACUGGUAAACAUGCCAAGGAGGAGCCAAGGACCCAGGCUGGGGGAAAACAAUAUAAGCCGAGCAAAAAGUAAAAACAAAAUAAGACUUCC
rnacentral:lncRNA from 1 species